rnacentral:rRNA from 1 species
GGAAUCUUGGACAAUGGGCGCAAGCCUGAUCCAGCCAUGCCGCGUGAGUGAAGAAGGCCUUAGGGUUGUAAAACUCUUUCGCCGGAGAAGAUAAUGACGGUAUCCGGAGAAGAAGCCCCGGCUAACUUCGUGCCAGCAGCCGCGGUAAUACGAAGGGGGCUAGCGUUGUUCGGAAUUACUGGGCGUAAAGCGCACGUAGGCGGACCGGAAAGUCAGAGGUGAAAUCCCAGGGCUCAACCUUGGAACUGCCUUUGAAACUCCUGGUCUUGAGGUCGAGAGAGGUGAGUGGAAUUCCGAGUGUAGAGGUGAAAUUCGUAGAUAUUCGGAGGAACACCAGUGGCGAAGGCGGCUCACUGGCUCGAUACUGACGCUGAGGUGCGAAAGCGUGGGGAGCAAAC